rnacentral:rRNA from 1 species
GACGAACGCUGGCGGCGUGCCUAAUACAUGCAAGUCGAACGCAGUGGGGACGGGGGAGUAACACGUGGGCAACCUACCAUCAGAGGGGAUAACACUUGGAAACAGGUGAUAAAAAGAUAUUGAUGGUUUGACCCGCGUUGCAUUAGCUAGUUGGUGAGGUAACGGCUCACCAAGGCCACGAUGCAUAGCCCACCUGGGAGGGUGAUCGGCCACACUGGGACUGAGACACGGCCCAGACUCCACCGGGAGGCAGAAGUAGGGAAUCUUCGGCAAGGGACGAAAGUCUGACCGAGCAACGCCGCGUGAGUGAAGAAGGUUUUCGGAUCGUAAAACUCUGUUGUUAGAGAAGCGGUAUCUAACCAGAAAGCCACGGCUAACUACGUGCCAGCAGCCGCGGUAAUAC